GGCUCAGGACGAACGCUGGCGGCGUGCUUAACACAUGCAAGUCGAACGAGAAUAGAUUGGAAGCUUGCUUUGAUUAUUCGAGUGGCGGACGGGUGAGUAACGCGUGAAUAAUCUGUCCUAUACAGGGGGAUAACGCAUCGAAAGAUGUGCUAAUACCGCGUAGGACCACGGGGUCGCAUGGCCCUGAGGUGAAAGGAGCAAUCCAGUAUAGGGUGAGUUCGCGUCUGAUUAGAUAGUUGGUGAGGUAACGGCCCACCAAGUCAACGAUCAGUAGCCGACCUGAGAGGGUGAUCGGCCACAUUGGGACUGAGACACGGCCCAGACUCCUACGGGAGGCAGCAGUGGGGAAUAUUGGGCAAUGGGCGAAAGCCUCGACCCAGCAACGCCGCGUGAAGGAAGUAAGGUUUCGGAUUGUAAACUUCUGUCCUAUGUGAAGAGUAGUAGACGGUAGCAUAGGAGGAAGCCCGGCUAACUACGUGCCAGCAGCGGC
rnacentral:rRNA from 1 species